AAUCCAACAUUUUUGCGAGGAGGAGGAGUCGAUAAAACUCAGACGUCUUCUACCUCUACUUAUAUCUGAGUGGAGAGUUGGGCAGAACAUCAGAGGACUCACAGUUUGACAUGAUGGCUCACAGAACCAGGCUGCUGCUGCUUUUAACUUUCUGCUGGGCAGGUGUUUCUGGCCAGACUCUGACAGAAUCUGAACCAGCGGUUAGAAGACCUGGAGAAUCCCACAGACUGACCUGUACAACAUCUGGAAUCUCCUUUAGCAGCUGGUGGAUGGCCUGGAUCAGACAGGCUCCUGGGAAAGGUCUAGAGUGGGUCGCUACUGAUGCUAACGGUGGUACCAACUACUACUCUGAGUCAGUCCGAGGCAGGUUCACCGUCUCCAGAGACAACAGCAGAGAGCAGCUGUUUCUGCAGAUGAACAGUCUGAAGACUGAAGAUUCUGCUGUUUAUUAUUGUGCUCGAGAGUCACAGUGACUGAAGUCAGUGGGGCAGCUGCACAAAAACCUGAGUCAUUAUAGAUAAUUUACCUUAAAAACAUUGUGAAUUUUAAAUGUUUGCAAUUUGGGAAAAUAAUAAAGAAGCACAUUUUCUAUAAUGAGACUCUUAAAA